rnacentral:tRNA from 1 species
CGCGGCGUAGUCGAGUGGCCUCGACACCAGGCUUUGAAGCUGGGACGUUGGUUCGUAUCCAACCGCCGCUGCCA